GAAUGCUGACAUAAGUAACGAUAAAGCGGGUGAAAAGCCCGCUCGCCGGAAGACCAAGGGUUCCUGUCCAACGUUAAUCGGGGCAGGGUGAGUCGACCCCUAAGGCGAGGCCGAAAGGCGUAGUCGAUGGGAAACGGGUUAAUAUUCCCGUACUUGGUGUUACUGCGAAGGGGGGACGGAGAAGGCUAUGUUGGCCGGGCGACGGUAGUCCCGGUUUAAGCGUGUAGGUGUGUGUUCCAGGUAAAUCCGGUUCACUUUAACACUGAGGCGUGAUGACGAGGCACCACGGUGCUGAAGCAACAAAUGCCCUGCUUCCAGGAAAAGCCUCUAAGCAUCAGGUAACAUCAAAUCGUACCCCAAACCGACACAGGUGGUCAGGUAGAGAAUACCAAGGCGCUUGAGAGAACUCGGGUGAAGGAACUAGGCAAAAUGGUGCCGUAACUUCGGGAGAAGGCACGCUGACACGUAGGUGAAGUGAUUUACUCAUGGAGCUGAAGUCAGUCGAAGAUACCAGCUGGCUGCAACUGUUUAUUAAAAACACAGCACUGUGCAAACACGAAAGUGGACGUAUACGGUGUGACGCCUGCCCGGUGCCGGAAGGUUAAUUGAUGGGGUCAGCGCAAGCGAAGCUCCUGAUCGAAGCCCCGGUAAACGGCGGCCGUAACUAUAACGGUCCUAAGGUAGCGAAAUUCCUUGUCGGGUAAGUUCCGACCUGCACGAAUGGCGUAAUGAUGGCCAGGCUGUCUCCACCCGAGACUCAGUGAAAUUGAACUCGCUGUGAAGAUGCAGUGUACCCGCGGCAAGACGGAAAGACCCCGUGAACCUUUACUAUAGCUUGACACUGAACAUUGAGCCUUGAUGUGUAGGAUAGGUGGGAGGCUUUGAAGCGUGGACGCCAGUCUGCGUGGAGCCGACCUUGAAAUACCACCCUUUAAUGUUUGAUGUUCUAACGUGGACCCGUAAUCCGGGUUGCGGACAGUGUCUGGUGGGUAGUUUGACUGGGGCGGUCUCCUCCUAAAGAGUAACGGAGGAGCACGAAGGUUGGCUAAUCCUGGUCGGACAUCAGGAGGUUAGUGCAAUGGCAUAAGCCAGCUUGACUGCGAGCGUGACGGCGCGAGCAGGUGCGAAAGCAGGUCAUAGUGAUCCGGUGGUUCUGAAUGGAAGGGCCAUCGCUCAACGGAUAAAAGGUACUCCGGGGAUAACAGGCUGAUACCGCCCAAGAGUUCAUAUCGACGGCGGUGUUUGGCACCUCGAUGUCGGCUCAUCACAUCCUGGGGCUGAAGUAGGUCCCAAGGGUAUGGCUGUUCGCCAUUUAAAGUGGUACGCGAGCUGGGUUUAGAACGUCGUGAGACAGUUCGGUCC
rnacentral:rRNA from 1 species